AGAUACACAGGGGUGAGUGACAGCAAUGUUUUCACAAUCAUGGUCUCAUCACAGGUCCUAAAAAACAGGUGACAACAUGUCAGAAAGCACAAUCGCAUGUCCCUUAUAAUCAUCGGUCAAAUGAAGCAUUGAUUGUUUGGCUAUUGUCCCAGUAAGAGUGACAGUAUAUUUCAGAGUGGAGACGCAGAGGUGGACGCAGAGGAAGCUAUUUUCGUGGAGCUCAUCCAAACUCUCCUGAAAGACCCUGCAGAGAGGCAGCAUUUUUACAAGGAGGUUUUUCCAACAGAGUAUGGUCUCAGCUAUGACACAGACAUGCAGCUCCUUGUGUGGGAGUUUCUUUCUAAACUGGAAAAACUCUUGCCAGUGCCAGACCUCGGUCAGACAGUUUCAUGGCUGACCUCUGCCCCUCC